GUUGCAUCUUCGGGACUCCGCCCCGCGCGCGGACCUGCAGCCAUGGCAGUCACCGCCCAGGCAGCCCGCAGGAAGGAGCGCGUCCUCUGCCUGUUUGACGUGGACGGGACCCUCACGCCGGCUCGCCAGUCGUGGAGCAGAGAGGGCUUCUUUUCAAAUUCGUUUAUGAGCUCUACCCACCCGGAUGUGAGAGGCUCCAGGCCUAGCCUGUUUGCUGUGAGGACACUGAGGAAUAGUGAGGAAAAUUGACCCUGAGGUGGCCGCCUUCCUGCAGAAGCUACGAAGUAGAGUGCAGAUCGGUGUGGUGGGCGGCUCUGACUACUGUAAGAUCGCUGAGCAGCUGGGUGACGGGGAUGAAGUCAUUGAGAAGUUUGAUUAUGUGUUUGCCGAGAACGGGACGGUGCAGUAUAAGCACGGACGACUGCUCUCCAAGCAGACCAUCCAGAACCACCUGGGGGAGGAGCUGCUGCAGGACUUGAUCAACUUCUGCCUCAGCUACAUGGCCCUGCUCAGGCUGCCCAAGAAGCGUGGAACCUUCAUCGAGUUCCGGAAUGGCAUGCUGAACAU
rnacentral:lncRNA from 1 species